rnacentral:rRNA from 1 species
UUGAACGCUGGCGGAAUGCUUUACACAUGCAAGUCGAACGGCAGCACGGGGGCAACCUUGGUGGCGAGUGGCGAACGGGUGAGUAAUGUAUCGGAACGUACCCAGUCGUGGGGGAUAACUAUCCGAAAGGAUAGCUAAUACCGCAUACGUCCUGAGGGAGAAAGGGGGGGAUCGCAAGACCUCGCGCGAUUGGAGUGGCCGAUGUCAGAUUAGCUAGUUGGUGGGGUAAAGGCCUACCAAGGCGACGAUCUGUAGCGGGUCUGAGAGGAUGAUCCGCCACACUGGGACUGAGACACGGCCCAGACUCCUACGGGAGGCAGCAGUGGGGAAUUUUGGACAAUGGGCGAAAGCCUGAUCCAGCCAUGCCGCGUGCGGGAAGAAGGCCUUCGGGUUGUAAACCGCUUUCAGCCGGAAAGAAAUCGCCACUUCUAAUACGAGUGGUGGAUGACGGUACCGGAAGAAGAAGCACCGGCUAACUACGU